UUCUCAUUCUGAUUUGUCCCAUCAAGCAAACUGGAGAAGAUAUAGUGUGGAUCUAGGAGAAGAUCAAAAUGGAUUCCAACACCAGUCAACCAAGAACCGUGGUGAGCUUCGUCCUGAAGAUCUUAUCACAAUAAUACGGGGCUGCAACGACCUUAAUUGUGUUUUUGGAUGUCAGGAAUUCCAGAACUGAUUAGUAAAUGGAGAAAAUUCUUGAAAUGGUCGGCAUCCACUGCAAGAAGUUACACAUCUUACAUUUGUGUAAUACGAAAACCACCUCUAUUCAUAGAGACACAGCAAGAUCUCCUACAGUUACAUGUCAAAUGAAUUUUGGUAUGUACCCCACUUAAGACAGCGCUGUGGAAUUUAAGAACCUAGCUUUGAUCAUCUGCUGACUGAUCCAUCAUUGGGAGCCCGUGAGACAGCCAAUGCUAGCUGGCCAUCGUCACCAUGGCUCUUGCAAAUUUAUCCUUGAAAUUUUGCGGGUUGGUGCUAUAUGUAUGCAGGCAACCUGAACACUCAUAGAGCCACUAUGCAGCCCCACCAAUCUGAGUGCCUAUUGGACUGCAAUGCACCACUGCGCUGUGGAUUUUGAUAUCUUUGCUGGAGUAUUUGAGGUUGACCUCUCAAAUAAAGGACCAACUUCUGUUGGGGAUUCUGGUGAUGAAUUGUUUGUGACAUUGUUUAUCAAUUUCCAGCCUUCUGUUCUCAUGAGUCACCAACACACGCAAAGUCUAUCUUGUAUUACUAUGAAGCAUUCACUAAGUUGGGGAUACAUCGUUAUU